GUGCUUGCUUUGGUAGCACACAUACUAAAAUUGGAAUGAUACAUAGAUUAGCAUGGCCACUGUGCAAGGAUGACACACAAGUUCGUAAAGUGUUCCAUAUUUUU